rnacentral:rRNA from 1 species
UACGGGGGGGGCAAGCGUUGUUCGGAAUUACUGGGCGUAAAGGGCUCGUAGGCGGCCAACUAAGUCAGACGUGAAAUCCCUCAGCUUAACUGGGGAACUGCGUCUGAUACUGGAUGGCUUGAGUUUGGGAGAGGGAUGCGGAAUUCCAGGUGUAGCGGUGAAAUGCGUAGAUAUCUGGAGGAACACCGGUGGCGAAGGCGGCACCCUGGACCAACACUGACACUGAGGAGCGAAAGCCAGGGGAGCAAACGGG